GUGAGUAGUAGCUGAUAUGUAUAGGAGCAAGUCUUCGUUCGGAGAAGGAGCGGUGAGUAUAGGAGGCUUUGAUAGAAAGUCUUUGAGUUGUGUUAGUGCCUUGUCUGCCUCUUCCGUCCAUUUGAACUUGUCCUGACAUUUGAGAAUCUUAAAGAAGGGUAGUCCCCGUUCUCCGAGUCUCGAGAUGAACUAGUUGAGAGCGGCCAUGCAGCCUGUAAGUU
rnacentral:lncRNA from 1 species